GAUUCUAUGAUAUAUAUUGGUGUUUACUUGUAAAUAAAUGUUAACGGAUGGCGGGGGCAAGCCGCUACCUCUCAGCACGUGCACAUAAUCUGGCUAGCUUGAUUAGGCGUGGCACAGGUUCUCACGGCCGGCGCGCGAUAGGCUGUGACCCGGGGGGCAUUUAUUCACUACAGCGUGUCACUGCUGGUUCAUGCUUGCGCACAACUAGCACACGGAUGUGAGUGGCGAAGCGACUUAAGGACCUUCAGCGCGUGGCUUCCGACGACAGUCACCAUCGCGCAGGCCGCGCGCUUCCUCCCUUUAGGAAUCAAGUUCAGAUGGUGGGUCAGGAUCGGUUUACGUUCGCGUGUGCCAGGGGGGUGAGACAACACCUUAGCUGGUCAGAGCAUGGGAAAUCGCACCUCCCCCCUCCCACGAGCAUGGGAGUUAGGGUUGGGGUGUCCGGCUCGCAGGUUUACCCUGGCACAAUCGCGCAUAGGUUGAAUGACGUCGUCGACGUUAGGGCGAGCGCGAUACGUAGGGCGUGCGUCGCGCACGACUGUAUUCCCUGCAAUUACAAUAUUCAUGUCCUAGCUACAAGGGUAUAUACAGUGUACGGAUAUAUAUAUAAAUAUAAAUACGUGUGGGAUAUAUAACGGUUAUAUAUGUACCUAGCUACAAUCUUAUACGUGUUGCCAUAUUUUGGGACUAAAUUUGGGGGGAGUUGGCAAUGAGCAAGGCACUUUAUCCCAGUUCGCUUGGAAAAGGGAGUGACUUUGUCACUAGUGAGGAGAUAAGCUUCCUUUGCCUCCCUAGCUGCAGGUUGUCCUUAGGCAAGGCAUAGCACCUGUUUAGCCUCCCGUGCCAGGGUUACGGUGAAGAUGUCUAAUAUAGUGGAGAUGGACUGAACACGUAGCUCCUUGAACAUAACAAAAUUGGAGUGAAGGAGAAACAUAGCUAAACGAGUGAACAAGAUGAACAAAAAGAAAAUGAAAAUGAAGAAGGAGACGCCGCUGAUGACGAGGACGACAACGACGAAGAAAAAGAAGAAGAAGAAGAAAUAGACUAGGAUGACGAUGUGGGCAACGACCAAGAUGAUGACUUCUACAACGAAGAGGAAGCAAAAGAGGAAUGUCUGAUCAUAGGUAUCUGUUUUCAGAUUGAAAGAGGGAUAAUUGGUGCCAGAGUGUUGAGUCAUGAGGUUGGGAUUGGAGCAAGAUGUUCUUUCCUCCAUUCAAACACCAUGCAUGCUUAUCAUUUCGACCAGCAAUACACAAACAAGAAACCAGGAAGGAACCAGAACAAGGACAAGGAACCAGGAACCAGGACAAGGAACCAGGAACCAGGACUUCAAACUCACUUCUGUUGAGAAGCUGCGUAACACUGCCACACCCAUGGAUCAGCACACACCGGCAAUGAGCCACCAAAUCGUGUAAAAGGACAUUUGCGCAGAUAUAGACACAUCAUCAAGCUAACGAGAGGCGUGAGUGCAUGAAAUCGUUGAAGCCAGGACUGUUAUUGCAAUGAUGCACUACGUUAACGUGAAACUGUCUUGUUACCAUCUGCAUGUUGUUAAUCGAAUCCAGAGUAGUUUUUCAUUGAGUUCGUUUUUAGAAAUCAGUAGUUCAAUGUUCGAAGUAUUUGUAACUAGACAUUUAAAUGACAAAGAUAGGAAAUGUGUUGCUCGUGCCAGUGAUAGUGACAGCUAGUAGACGUUUCUAAUGUACGGUUUUCAUUUGAUUGUGAAUGCAAAUAUCUAUGACUGCUGAUUGAACAAUGACGAUAAGCCAAUUUCGCAUUUUGACUGCACAUGCUCAUUAACUUAAUUUCACUCCCAAGUCCUAGCUUUCGGCCAUCAUACAACAAAUAUACUUUCAGAAAAUUCAAACUCUGGCCGCAUAAAUGUGAUAAUUUACGCAUCACUUUCAGUCCACUUGCUAAAAAAACCUAUCUGUGAUUUGGCCACAAUACGUCGAGUAAUUUAGCUUUGAAGGUCAUUCCUUGCCCAGUAUAUUUUCAGCAUACGAUCGGAGUGCCCUGAACCUUAGGGCUUACUGUUUAUUACGUAACUUAAACUAUGUCCAGGUUAGACCCUCAUUAUAUUAAAUUUGCUAGAGACAUUUCUAAUCUUAAAAGUAAUAUUUUAAUAUUUAAUCGUAAUAUUUUUAAAGAUGAUCUACAACUCGUACAACCAUUUGGUACCAAAAAUGAUGUUAGUGGAAGGAGAGAUGACUUUAUUGUGAUGCAAUAACCAAAACGUCCCCCAAUGCAUCGUACUCUCCGAAAUGCGAAAUUGGUUGACAUGUACUUUAUUUACAUGUAAUGGAAUCAAUUUACUAACUUCCAAGUCGUUUUUAUAAUUCGAAAAAUU